CAAGUGCCAAGUGUAAAGUCUGUCCAGACGACUCGUCACAUUUGUGGAAAAGAUUACGGACCAAAUGACGCAUGGAAAAUAAACCCGGCUCGAGCCCAUGUACGCGACCGAAACAAAACAUAUUUUUUGGCGACGCCACCCUCGAAAACGCAUCGCCGCACGAAUGCACGAAUAGGUAGG